AAUGAACGCUGGCGGCAUGCCUAACACAUGCAAGUCGAACGAAGGCUUCGGCCUUAGUGGCGCACGGGUGCGUACCGCGCGGGAAUCUGCCCUUGGGGUCAGAAUAACGCAGAGAAAUUUGAGCUAAUACCGGAGGAGGACGAAAGUCCAAAGAUUUAUCGGACAAGGAUGAGCCCGCGUAGGAUUAGCUAGUAGGUGGGGUAAAGGCUCACCAAGGCAACGAUCCUUAGCUGGUCUGAGAGGAGGAUCAGCAACACUGGGACUGAGACACGGCCCAAACUCCUACGGGGGGCAGCAGUGGGGAAUAUUGGACAAUGGGCGAAAGCCUGAUCCAGCAAUGCCGCGUGAGUGAUGAAGGCCUUAGGGUUGUAAAGCUCUUUUACCCGGGAUGAUAAUGACAGUACCGGGAGAAUAAGCUCCGGCUAACUUCGUGCCAGCAGCCGCAGUAA
rnacentral:rRNA from 1 species